rnacentral:rRNA from 1 species
UACGUAGGGGGGCAAGCGUUGUCCGGAUUUAUUGGGCGUAAAGAGCGUGUAGGCGGCCAUACAGGUCCGUUGUGAAAACUGGAGGCUUAACCUCCAGACGUCGAUGGAAACCGUAUGGCUAGAGUCCGGAAGAGGAGAGUGGAAUUCCUGGUGUAGCGGUGAAAUGCGUAGAGAUCAUGAGGAAGACCAGUGGCGAAGGCGGGUCUCUGGACAGUUCCUGACACUGAGACACGAAGGCCCAGGGGGAGCAAAACGGGG